CUCUUUACAUUUGUGCAACAAUGAUAAAUAAUACAAAAAAUAUUUGGUGGUGGAACUCUCUUAAUAAAUAAGUGAGAACUAAUCCUGUAUUUUAUAUAUAUAUAAAAGGCUUAUC
rfam:Polaribacter sp. LPB0003 LPB3_25, whole genome shotgun sequence.